UUAUUCUGAUUUCUUCGGAAUGAAAAAUUUCCUGUACUGAGUGGCGGACGGGUGAGUAACGCGUGGGUAACCUGCCUCAUACAGGGGGAUAACAGUUAGAAAUGACUGCUAAUACCGCAUAAGACCACAGCACCGCAUGGUGCAGGGGCAAAAACUCCGGUGGUAUGAGAUGGACCCGCGUCUGAUUAGGUAGUUGGUGGGGUAACGGCCUACCAAGCCGACGAUCAGUAGCCGACCUGAGAGGGUGACCGGCCACAUUGGGACUGAGACACGGCCCAAACUCCUACGGGAGGCAGCAGUGGGGAAUAUUGCACAAUGGGGGAAACCCUGAUGCAGCGACGCCGCGUGAGCGAUGAAGUAUUUCGGUAUGUAAAGCUCUAUCAGCAGGGAAGAAAAUGACGGUACCUGACUAAGAAGCACCGGCUAAAUACGUGCCAGCAGCCGCGGUAAUACGUAUGGUGCAAGCGUUAUCCGGAUUUACUGGGUGUAAAGGGAGCGUAGACGGAGUGGCAAGUCUGAUGUGAAAACCCGGGGCUCAACCCCGGGACUGCAUUGGAAACUGUCAAUCUGGAGUACCGGAGAGGUAAGCGGAAUUCCUAGUGUAGCGGUGAAAUGCGUAGAUAUUAGGAGGAACACCAGUGGCGAAGGCGGCUUACUGGACGGUAACUGACGUUGAGGCUCGAAAGCGUGGGGAGCAAACAGGAUUAGAUACCCUGGUAGUCCACGCCGUAAACGAUGACUACUAAG
rnacentral:rRNA from 1 species